AAUGCAGAGGUGGGGGACAGAGUGGGUGGGGAGGGGAGCCGCCAUACAGUGGCCAGGACCAGCUUUGCCCAAGUGGUGGCAACCGCAUGACCACAGGAACGAUGGCGUGAGCCCCGUGGCAACCUGGAGGAAGGGCCAAGCCACUGGUGAAUAUGCUGCAAAAAAUAUGCUGGAACUUCUAUGAAUACCACAGGGUGUGAGAAGAAAACAUUAGAACUUCUAUUUUGUACCUGUGUUACUCCACAACAAGAAAGCAAUCAGCUUGAUCAAUGCCUACUGUAAAGACAGCACCGCCCUCCGGAGGUCCUUUCUCAGCCCUGGUGUUCGGACAGCCACAUCCCCUCGCAGCAGGGGGAGGCCUGAAGCAUAGAGGGGCCCAUGCAGGUCUAUUCUGUUUCAGCAAAUUGCCUGGGAAAUAAUCCAGGAUCCAUUUCGUGUGGUCAUCUUGUCUCCCUGGUCCCCUCCAGCCUUUCCUCAUCUUUUGUGACCUGGUCACUCUGGAAGGGCGCUGGCCAGUUAGUCCACAGGAUGGGCCUCCCCUGGGGCUUUUCUGAUGCUUCCUUAUGAUGGCACUGGCAUCCUGAGGGGGAGGACCACAGAGAGGAGGUGCUCCUCAUCACACCACAUGGGGGUCCAUGCACCAGUGCCACUGCUUUCCAGGGCUCUUCACCUUCAUCACUGGUGGAGGUGGCGUCUGCCAAGAAGCAGAAAGUUGAGGCUUAGAAGGUGCAUGGCCCUACCUCUUCUAAGGUGCCCCUGCGGGCUGUCUACAGACCAGGCAGCACAUGCCUGAUAGCAGCUGCAUAAGGAAAAGCAGGAGCCAGCUCGUGCACAGUGGCCUCAAGUGUGCGCUGGGCAUGUUAUCUGCCUCACCAUCCCUGUGUGACAGAUGAAGCAUGGCAAGCCAGGCUCCAGAGAAGCAUCCUGAGGACCAGUGUUCCUAGGGACCUCAUUCUUCUGACCUCAUUCCUACAACGUUUUGUCACUGCAAAGGAAAUCACCAAGGCCAGCAUGACAGCCCUCAACAGAAGCCAAGGCCAAGUCCUCGAACUUCCUAGUCUGCACAAUGACAAGUGAGCUCAUGGAAACCUCUCCAUCGUUGACCAGGAUCUAUAGGAAAACCCUCCUCUUCUUCUAUAUGCAAAGGCUGCACAGCUCCUGGUUCACCUGCACCUCUCCAGACCACCAUGGUGCCUGCAGCUCUGAGGGCAUUUUAAAUCAUCACAGAACAACAAGCAUAUAAGCAUUAUGAGCGCCUCUGGACCUCUGACGUGCCUUGUGGAGGCCUGCCAGGCCCACGUUUUAAUUUACAUGAACUCGAUGCCCUUUUUGACAGGGAGAGAUCUGUUUCUUUAUUUGUUAGCCUUUCCCCUGGACCUGCUAGAUCUGGACCAUCCCCAGGAAAGGAAGGUCACACCACAAAGAUAAAUAUAAACAAAAUGAGUUAAUUAAGAA
rnacentral:sRNA from 1 species